rnacentral:rRNA from 1 species
AUUGAACGCUGGCGGCAUGCUUUACACAUGCAAGUCGAACGGCAGCACGGGGGCAACCCUGGUGGCGAGUGGCGAACGGGUGAGUAACACAUCGGAACGUGUCCAGUUGUGGGGGAUAACCCAUCGAAAGGUGGGCUAAUACCGCAUGAGCUGGCAACAGGAAAGCGGGGGACCCGCAAGGGCCUUGUGCGAUUGGAGCGGCCGAUGUCCGAUUAGCUAGUUGGUGGGGUAAAGGCCUACCAAGGCUUCGAUCGGUAGCUGGUCUGAGAGGAUGAUCAGCCACACUGGGACUGAGACACGGCCCAGACUCCUACGGGAGGCAGCAGUGGGGAAUUUUGGACAAUGGGGGCAACCCUGAUCCAGCCAU